UACGUAGGGGCCGAGCGUUGUCCGGAGUUAUUGGGCGUAAAGCGCGCGCAGGCGGCUUGGCGCGCCCGACGUGAAAGCCCCCGGCUUAACCGGGGAGGGUCGUCGGGUACGGCCAGGCUUGAGGGCGGGAGAGGGUGGUGGAAUUCCCGGUGUAGUGGUGAAAUGCGUAGAGAUCGGGAGGAACACCAGUGGCGAAGGCGGCUCACUGGCCCGGUACUGACGCUGAGGUGCGAAAGCGUGGGGAGCAAACAGG
rnacentral:rRNA from 1 species